rnacentral:sRNA from 1 species
GCGGCAUUGAAUUCUAUGAUGGUGAGGAUGAGCCUUGCAGGAGACAGGAAGGUCCACGAAUUAACAACUUUACCUCCUUCAAUCUGCACAGAGAAACAUCCUUUUUGGCCUCUGUUUGGAAAACAUGUGUUGACAAAUUUGCAGAAGGUCUCCUCCAUCAAGAGAAUCAGGGUCUACUAUGAAGAGGAAGCAAAAUUCAUAUAUCCACUAAAUGAACAGGAUCCUUUUUGCAGACAAGGGGAGGACUCGGAGUCGUUGAGUCAGCAUUACCAGGACAAUGCUGUAGAGACACAUCCCAAUAAUGACAAUAAUGGCAAUGGGGCAGAGGCUUGCCCCAAUGAUGCUCAGGAAGGACCCUUUUUGCAGACAAGGGGAGGACUCGGAGUCGUUGAAUCAGAAUAUAUUAGCACAAGAGAUUCUGAUGCACAUUUACCGGUAGAAAGUCUUCCACGAAAGAAACGUUCGCUUGUAGCUGAAUUUGACCCUCAACCAAAAAGUUGCAAAAAGAGACUUUUCAUUGAAGUUAAAGAUCAACCAAAAUCAACGGCUGAUAUUCUGAAUGCCUUACUUGGGAACUCGAAGCUUGUGACCGAGUACACGAAAUACAAGAGACUGUGUAAAACCAGCCCUCAUGACAAAAACUUCAGGAAGUGUUAUGAUGCUGCACUAGCCAAAGUACAGAUUGCCAUCAGCAAAUUUCAGAGAGAAACUAAGAAUAAUCCUCUCCUAGAAGAAAAAAGAAAAUUGGCAGAAUCCUUACUUACACAUUGGAAAAUAUAUCAUUUUUGA